rnacentral:lncRNA from 1 species
CUCACAGCUGCCCUUCUUCUCUCUCUUAGAAGGAAGAGGAAGAGGGGGAAUCAAACACAGUAUUUGGUUACCACCAAACAGAAGUCUCCACAGGGAGGGGGCUAUCUUUUUACACAGAGUUGUUAUAUAAGACUCCUCCCUUUCAUUUCCAGAGAUGAUUUUUAAACUAUGACAAGCUGAUUUAAAGUUUGCAUACUGUGGACAGGCUACUAUAUUUAAUGUAGUUAUGGGCCUUUGAUUUUGUAACUGUUUGUGUGAGAUUUACAUAAACUCUGGUGCUUAGAUUCUUCAUCUUUAGUAUGGCCCGUCUGACCAAGAACAAUGGAUACAAACAGGAAUGAAAUGGACAUGUGGAGCUCAGAGGACAGCAUUUUGACUCAGACAGUUUCAACCUGUGGAAAAUGAAAUCAAGAGCUGAAAUAUGAAUCUGGUGGUCUUAUAGAAAAACUAUCUGCAACUAAGGAAGCUAAUUUUAAAGAGAUGAAUUAUACCUUGAAUCUGUAAGAACGUUUUAUUAUGUUCAAGACAAUUUGAAAUAUGAUAAAGAUUUUCGAUUGAUUUUACAAUAGGUUUUGCCAUUCUGCU